AAGGCCCUGUUUCCAAAUAAGAUCACAUUCAAGGGGCGUUAGGACUUGGGGGACAUAAUUCAACCCCCAACAUUGGCUAAAGGCUCCAGCUUUCUUUUAUCAGCCUAGCAAAUCCGAUGGAAAGAAAGUUUCAGUAACUCCAGCUAAAGUCCUAAGUAUGAUUCCCACUGGCCUGGUUGGGUCAACUGUCCAGCUCUGGGAAUCUACCUCUGUGGCCAGGGCAAUGGAAGAGUCUCAUCGGCCAGGCCUGGGCCUUGUGCUCACACUGGAACCAGGGAGUGAGGUCAGCCCCACCUGGACCACAUAUCCAACAGACACCCCAGGUGAUACCACCAAAAGAGGAAUUGACACUAGGAAGGCCAAAUUAGCAAAUGCCUCUCAGCCUCCAGCACCCCCAGGCACCCUGCAGGGUGGGCCUUAUUCCUAUUGACUGAGUGGAAGAUGGAAGCUCAGAAAAGUUAAGUGACUUGCAACUAGUCAAUGUGAUUAGAACUGAGCUGAGACUCUAACCCAGGCCUAUCUGGCUCCCAAACUGGGUUUUCUCCCCAACGACUGAAUGCCAAGAGUUCACAGAAUGCUCUCCCUUGUGGUGGGACAGUCAGGCAAAUCCUCAUGGAGGAGAAAAGAAGAGCUUGACACCACCAGCAGUACAUUUUGGACAAGACUGCCAGGAAUUUGUGCGCAGACGCGGUAGCAUGCUCAGCCCAAGGUUCUGGGACAACUCUCUCUUCCUCAACCCUAGCAUCGUAUUCUUUUAACCUUACUUUAAAGGCCUAUUAUGUCUGUGUUUUCCAUGGAUUCUGAGAACCUCAGAGGCCAAGCCCAGGACCUCGCGAGUGGCCCGCGGAGCCGCCCCACCCAGCGGGCCACCUUCCCACAGCGCCCCAGGAAGCCGCUCUGCCCGCCUCUGACGCGCAGCCUCUCUGGAGGCCCUCUCCUUUCUUGUGGUUCCAUGUUUGAAAAUCUCCC
ensembl:lncRNA